rnacentral:rRNA from 1 species
AGCUACAGGCUUAACACAUGCAAGUCGAGGGGCGGCAUGGUCUUAGCUUGCUAAGGCCGAUGGCGACCGGCGCACGGGUGAGUAACACGUAUCCAACCUGCCGUCUACUCUUGGACAGCCUUCUGAAAGGAAGAUUAAUACAAGAUGGCAUCAUGAGUCCGCAUGUUCACAUGAUUAAAGGUAUUCCGGUAGACGAUGGGGAUGCGUUCCAUUAGAUAGUAGGCGGGGUAACGGCCCACCUAGUCUUCGAUGGAUAGGGGUUCUGAGAGGAAGGUCCCCCACAUUGGAACUGAGACACGGUCCAAACUCCUACGGGAGGCAGCAGUGAGGAAUAUUGGUCAAUGGGCGAGAGCCUGAACCAGCCAAGUAGCGUGAAGGAUGACUGCCCUAUGGGUUGUAAACUUCUUUUAUAAAGGAAUAAAGUCGGGUAUGGAUACCCGUUUGCAUGUACUUUAUGAAUAAGGAUCGGCUAACUCCGUGCCAGCAGCCGCGGUAAUACGGAGGAUCCGAGCGUUAUCCGGAUUUAUUGGGUUUAAAGGGAGCGUAGAUGGAUGUUUAAGUCAGUUGUGAAAGUUUGCGGCUCAACCGUAAAAUUGCAGUUGAUACUGGAUAUCUUGAGUGCAGUUGAGGCAGGCGGAAUUCGUGGUGUAGCGGUGAAAUGCUUAGAUAUCACGAAGAACUCCGAUUGCGAAGGCAGCCUGCUAAGCUGCAACUGACAUUGAGGCUCGAAAGUGUGGGUAUCAAACAGGAUUAGAUACCCUGGUAGUCCACACGGUAAACGAUGAAUACUCGCUGUUUGCGAUAUACAGCAAGCGGCCAAGCGAAAGCGUUAAGUAUUCCACCUGGGGAGUACGCCGGCAACGGUGAAACUCAAAGGAAUUGACGGGGGCCCGCACAAGCGGAGGAACAUGUGGUUUAAUUCGAUGAUACGCGAGGAACCUUACCCGGGCUUAAAUUGCAGAUGAAUUACGGUGAAAGCCGUAAGCCGCAAGGCAUCUGUGAAGGUGCUGCAUGGUUGUCGUCAGCUCGUGCCGUGAGGUGUCGGCUUAAGUGCCAUAACGAGCGCAACCCUUGUUGUCAGUUACUAACAGGUUCCGCUGAGGACUCUGACAAGACUGCCAUCGUAAGAUGUGAGGAAGGUGGGGAUGACGUCAAAUCAGCACGGCCCUUACGUCCGGGGCUACACACGUGUUACAAUGGGGGGUACAGAGGGCCGCUACCACGCGAGUGGAUGCCAAUCCCCAAAACCUCUCUCAGUUCGGACUGGAGUCUGCAACCCGACUCCACGAAGCUGGAUUCGCUAGUAAUCGCGCAUCAGCCACGGCGCGGUGAAUGCGUUCCCGGGCCUUGUACACACCGCCCGUCAAGCCAUGGGAGCCGGGGGUACCUGAAGUGCGUAACCGCGAGGAGCGCCCUAGGGUAAAACUAGUGACUGGGGCUAAGUCAUAACAAG